UUGUGGGAAAAUCUUCGCCCACUGGACCAAAGAAUGUCAAGAGCUCAUUGCUGGAAAGCAUACUCCGGUCUUCAGUCUAAAGAGGAAGGCAGAGCAGCAGGACACAGAGGUUAGGAAAUUGCCUUGUAAAAACAGUAUUAUCUCAGUGGGAGUCCUUCAAAAUGCACACAGUUGUAUGGAUCAACAUUGUCUCGAUGUAUUUGGUAAUUGAUGUUACUUUUCAAAUUGCCUUGUCAAGGAAACCAUGAAGCAGACGGUAUCGGAUGUCCAAAGAAUGUGCAUGGCAGAUUCAAUGCAAUUCUGUGUCUACCAGACAUCGAACAACACAGGAGAGAG